AUCGAACGCUGGCGGCAGGCCUAACACAUGCAAGUCGAACGAGUGGCGGACGGGUGAGUAAUGUCUGGGAAACUGCCUGAUGGAGGGGGAUAACUACUGGAAACGGUAGCUAAUACCGCAUACCAUCAGAUGUGCCCAGGUGGGGUUAGCUGGUUGCUGGGGUAACGGCUCACCAAGGCGACGAUCCCUAGCGUGUCUGAGAGGAUGACCGGCCACACUGGAACGGGGACACGGUCGGGACUCCUACGGGGGGAGGCAGUGGGGAAUAUUGCACAAGGGACGCAAGCUUGAUGCAGCCAUGCCGCGUGUAUGAAGAAGGCCUUCGGGUUGUAAGGUACUUUCAGCGGGGAGGCGUUACCCGCAGAAGAAGCACCGGCUAACUCCGUGCCAGCAGCCGCGGUAAUUC
rnacentral:rRNA from 1 species